rnacentral:tRNA from 1 species
GUUUCUGUAGUUGAAUUACAACGAUGAUUUUUCAUGUCAUUGGUCGCAGUUGAAUGUUGCGUAGAAAUA